rnacentral:rRNA from 1 species
GAUCCUGCGUCUAGGAUGAACGCUAGCUACAGGCUUAACACAUGCAAGUCGAGGGGCAGCAUGAACUUAGCUUGCUAAGUUUGAUGGCGACCGGCGCACGGGUGAGUAACACGUAUCCAACCUUCCGUUUACUCAGGGAUAGCCUUUCGAAAGAAAGAUUAAUACCUGAUAGUAUGGUGAGAUUGCAUGAUANCACUAUAAGUAUUUUAGUUACGGGUAAACGAGGUGGGGAUCGUCCGUUACCUAGUUUAAGGG